ACUUAAGGUGUGUAUCUGCUGUAAAUAUGGACAUAAAACAACAUAUAGGCUUUAGGUGGGCAUGCCGUGCACUUCAGAUUGCCCAUAAAGAACCUAUGUACAUUU